rnacentral:rRNA from 1 species
UACGAAGGGGGCUAGCGUUGCUCGGAAUCACUGGGCGUAAAGCGCACGUAGGCGGACUCUUAAGUCAGGGGUGAAAUCCUGGAGCUCAACUCCAGAACUGCCUUUGAUACUGGGAGUCUUGAGUUCGGGAGAGGUGAGUGGAACUGCGAGCGUAGAGGUGAAAUUCGUAGAUAUUCGCAAGAACACCAGUGGCGAAGGCGGCUCACUGGCCCGAUACUGACGCUGAGGCACGAAAGCUAGGGGAGCAAACAGG